rnacentral:misc_RNA from 1 species
AACGCACAUUGCGCCCCUCGGUAUUCCGUGGGGCAUGCCUGUUCGAGCGUCAUUACACCCCUCAAGCUCUGCUUGGUGUUGGGCCUCUGUCGCGCCUCUCCCGGCGUCGACUGGCCUCAAAUGCUCCGGCAGCCUCCCCGCCCGGCCCUCUCAGCGCAGCAGUUCGCGCCUGCGAGCCGGCGGGAGCGCCGCCUCCACCGAAGACCCCCCGAGUUUGACCUCGAAUCAGGCAGGGAUACCCGCUGAACUUAA